UCCCUGGCAGUCCAGUGGUUAAGACUCUGUGCUUUCAAUGCACAGGGCAUAGGUUUGAUCCCUGGCCGGGGAA
rnacentral:tRNA from 1 species